UACGGAGGGGGCUAGCGUUGUUCGGAAUUACUGGGUGUAAAGCGCGUGUAGGCGGGAGGCCAAGUCUGUGGUGAAAUCGCUCGGCUUAACUGGGCGGGGUCCAUGGAAACUGGUCACCUGGAGGUCGGUAGAGGCAAGUGGAAUUCCCGGUGUAGUGGUGAAAUGCGUAGAGAUCGGGAGGAACACCAGUGGCGAAGGCGGCUUGCUGGGCCGGACCUGACGCUGAGACGGCGAAGGCGGUGGGGAGCGAACGGG
rnacentral:rRNA from 1 species